GAUAGCUCAGUUGGUUAGAGCAUGGUGCUGAUUACACCAGGGUUGCAGGUUUGAUCACCCUAUAGGACAGCUGCA